rnacentral:lncRNA from 1 species
AGUGGAAACUCCCUGACUGGUGGCCUGUCCCCACCCCUGCCAGGGCCAGCGCCGUGGUGGAGACUAAGUUCCUGCACCUACUGAGACUCCCUUUGCACCCAGCCCCGGAGACCACAGAAGAACGCUCUGUCUCCUUGCUGGCCAUGGGCCAGGGCAUGGGGCACAGUCAGAGCAGCCCAGCAGAGAGGAGCCAGCUCUGUGGCAGGGCUCAGCACGCAGACUGCAGCAGGAGAACCAGGAGGCGUGGGGCCCCCUCGACAGGUCCCCUCCACCAGGAGCUGCCGUGGUUAGGACCUGGGAGGUGCCCUACUGACCGUGUGUUGGUGGGCGUGGCCCCGGCUUGUGGUGUUACUGGGAGGUGUGGGAAAGGUAGCUGAAGGAAGUAGGUCACCCGGGUGUGUCCUUGCGGGGUGCUGGGGCCCUGACCCUCCCCUGGCUUGUGUCUCCUGCCUGCCACCAGGUGAGCCGCUCUGUUCCGGCACACACUCCCUCAGGACGUUGGACCUCAUCCCAAGUCCAGAAAUGACCAAGGCAAGUGACCCCUGCUGAGGCUGCAGUGGGCCUCAGCCUGUCCUGUGAGCCGGUUCCCCAGGUGUCGGCGCCGCAAUGGACAGCGGCUGACAGGCGCUGGGGACAAGAUGGCUGGGGAGCCGGGCGAGGAAAGGGGGAGGCAGGUAAGAGGGCAGAGCCACGAAGGCUGGCCCGGGGCGGGGUUCUGUCCUGAGGACAGCAGGAGGCUCCACACAUCUUCAGCCAGGGCCUGGCCUAUGGUCCACCUCAGGAGCCCACUGGCAGGCCCAGGCAGACGCAGGCGGCGGGGGUGUGGAGGAGGUGCUGCCCGUCUAGACCAGGGGCGACCAGCCCAAGCUCAGGGGCGUGCGGGGAUAGACAGGAGAUGGGCGGCCAGAGCAGGAGUUGAAGCCCCAUCGGGGAGAACACGGGCAGAAUGGCUGGGGAUGUCACCCAUGGGGUCGUCAUUGACAAGGGUUUCGCCCAAAACUGUAACACAGGGCUGACUUGGCCCAGGUUUCCUAGUGGGCCCCCCCUCUCUUCUCCCACCCUGGUUCAUCUCCCAGCUGCCAUGGCCAGACACAGCAGAGCAGGGAGGGAGGGGGAGAGGUGCCGUCUGGUGAAGACCCACCUACCCCCAGAACAGACUGCGAACAUUCCUCCCUUACCACCGCGGCUCUCCCAUUGUCCCCGCCCCGUAUCUGUGACCCUCCACACUGGUGCGGAGGCUGCCUUGGAGCACAGCCUCUCUUCUCCAUUCCUCGGCCACUGAGAAAGCCUUUCUCCCUCCGGCUCGUCUCUGGAACGUUGCUUUUCUCCCUGGGCUGAGCUCCUGGGCCUGGGAUCGCAUAAAAAUCAUCUAGGGUUGUUCUUUCUUCUGGUAGAUGGACUUGUUCUUCACCAUUGGGAGAAGUCCCCGUCGUCUCUGGUAAUAUCACCCCUUUCCUACAGCCUGCCCUGCGUGGUGGACACAGCCAAUGUGGCUCUCACAAUGAGUGUUGGCAUGGGGACCAUUUCUCAUCCUUCACUUUGAAUUUCUCUCUUCUAUUUAAAUUUUGUUUCCUAUCCUUAACAUUUAAUUGGAUCUUGCUUUUUAAAUACAAUCGGACAAUCGCUGACUUUUAAUCAGAGUGUUUAAAACAUUUACAUUUAAUGUAAUUAUCGAUUUGAUUGGGUUAAAGUCUACCAGGUGGCUGUUUUCUAUUGGGCUCUUGUGUUCUUUGCUCUUAUUUCUCUAUUCCUGGCUUAUUUUGGAUUGAGUUUCAAUUUUAUUUUCACUCUUGGCUUUUUAACAACACUUCUUCUGUUUUCCUAGCAACUGCUCUUGGGUUCACACUGCUUUUAACUUACCACAGCCUGCACUGCAGACUCUUACACGUUCCACACCCCAGGUGAGGGCCUUCCAGCGUCUCUCCUGCUGUCCUUGGUGCACCCUGAUGUACCUUGACUUCUACACAGGUGUGUCACAAACCCACAGCACACUGUCAUCACUUUUGCUUAGAACUGCCAUUACUUGGUAAGGAUAUUUAUAAAGAGAGAGAAGCCCUUGAUAUCUGCCAUUUUUCUAGUGUUCUUCUCUACUUUGUAAAAUAAUUUCUGGGAUCACCAUCUUUCAGCCUGAAGUCCUUUUAAUAGUUAUUGAAGUACAGGUACACUGGUGAAAAGUUCUUUCAGGGUGUGGUGUGUGUGUGUGUGUGUGUGUGUGAAGAAAAUCUUUGUUUCAGCUUCAUCAUUGAAAAAUAGUUUCUGCUACACACAGAAUUUCAGUUGGGUGUGUUCUUCUCUCAGUGUUUGAGAAUUGCUGUUCCACCGUCACCCAGCGGGCACUUCCCUGAAGAGAAGUCUGCAGUGAGCCUAUUGCUGUUUCCCUGAGUGUCAUGGGUCUCUUCCCCUCCGGCUGCUCUUAAAUCUUCUCGUUUUCAUAGAUUUCCAGCAAUUUGAUUACCAUGUGCCUCCAUGUGCUCAUGUUAGUGUCUAUCCUAUACAAUAUUUGUUUUGUUUUCCAUAGAAUUUGGAAGCUUUAGGACCAUUAUUUUUCCAAAUAUUUUGCCCACUCUUGCCUCCCUCGCCAAGCUCAUUCCUGAAAUCCAGUUAUGUGCGUGUUUGACAACAGCCCUGAGGUUCUGUUCAUUUUUUUUUUAAUCUAUUUCCAUCUUGACAAGUUUUAUCUCCAUCUUUGAGUGUAUUGAUUUUCUCUUCUGCAGUGUUUAAUCUGAUACUCAUCAAUCAGUGAACUUUCCAUUUUGUAAAAUUACUUUUCAUUUCUGGACAUUUCAUUUGGUUAUUGUUAACACCUCAUCUUCUUUCCCACUUAUGUUUGGAUUUUCUUUUAUAGUCAUGAGCAGAUAUGCCAUAUUUACAGUAGCCAUUUAAAAUUCACCAAUUCUAUCAUUCCUAUCAUUGCUGGUUCUGUUUUUAUCAAUCUCCUGAUUCUGAGCCACCACCUCUCCUUCUUCACCUAUAUGGUAAUUUUUUAUUGAAUGCCAGGCAUUUUAAAGGUAACAUUGGGAAAUGUAUAGCAUUUUCCCUUCUGUCUUACUCUAAAGAGUGUUGACAUUUAUUCCAAUAGACAGUACAUUACUUGCCAACAAGGUUGACCCUUUCGAGGCUUGUUUUUAAGUUUUCCUAGGGUGAUCUGCAGUAGCAUUUACUCUGGGACUGAUGUGUCCCUACUGCUAAAGCAUGAUCCCUUGUGUUCUGUGGUGAUUGCCUCAAGAAUUCCAUGAGCUCUCUUGCUGGACAGAUGGGAUUCAAACGUCUCCUAGUCUGGUGUGAGUUCUGGGAAUCAUUCAGCUUCUACCUCACUGUUCCUGGUCCGGCUCCUGAGAUUUCCCCACACAUGCACAGAUCGAUAUUCAGUAAAGAUCAAGGGGGACCCUAUGCUAGGAAUUGACUGUCCUCAUUUGGGUAUCUUGCUCUGUCUGGCACUCUGCCCCACCUCCGCCUCCCAAGGUCCGGCACCUCCUCCCUGCUCCGGAACAUGUGCGUGCUCUGCCUCACCCCCACCCGACUGGAAGUACAGAACUGCCUCUGGGGAAGCUGAGCUGAUUGUACAGCUUGUUUUAGUUGUUUCCUUUCUCCUUGGAUCGCAGCGCUGCACAGCCUGUCAGCCUCAUGUCCAAAUCCAGUUGUUUCUUAUACUUGUCCAAUUUUCUAGUUCUUUCAGGAAGGAAAAAAUAAUCAUAAUAACUAUCAUGAGUUCCACACCAGUUGCUCCUUCAUGGUUGACUGCAAAAAUUCCCAAAACCAUUUUCUGUGUUUCUACCCCACUUCCUUCCUUGAGAUUCCUCAGAAUUGUAACUUGAGCAGGUUCGAUGGAUGACUGCAUCGACUGCAACAGAUUCCUACUAAGCUCCUGGCAGUUCCUGACCCUGAGAAGACUGGCCAGGAUGAGUGAGCAUCCCCUGGGCCUGGGGAAGAGGCGGCACAGCUGGGUGUGGUCCCCGGAGGGGAAGCUGAGCCGGCCUCCAGAGCAGAACAAAUGAGGGAUGAGCACCGUGUUCCUUGGAAUUCUGACUCUGACAGUUUGUUGUUCUACAUGAACAUCACUAACGUCACUCCCUCUUUCAAAAACACUGAACUAAAAUGAAUUUACAAACACAGAACUUUACUUAAAGGGGGGUGACUCAGGAUUUCUAACUGAUAACACCCCUAGGUAAGCCACGUUUCUGAGCAGAGGGACCCAGGCCCAUUGUCAACCAAACCUCCACCCCAGCACCUUGCAAUCCUAGGUUAAAGAAUCCUCUUCCACCUUCAGAGGUCCUUGUGAAGCAAACUGUCAAGUUGAUUAGAUCUGGAGAUAAUUGUGUUUGGUAUUUGCCUGUAGCCGUGGCCCUUCCUAAAGACCUCUGUCCAGCCCACAAACCGUGCCAGGUGAGCAGACCUUGGCUCCCAUCUUACACCCAUUGAGUCCUCCCUUCUCAGUCGACUGGACCAGCACGGACAUUUGACCUGAGCAGCUGGUCCAUGUGCUUGCCUAGGACCAGAGAGUGACCUAUGAGGGGAAAUUCCUCUCCUUAAUGAAAUGAAUCAAGAGACACCACCCGAACAUGACAUUUGGCAGGGAGAACUGAAGCUCAAAGGACAGUUAAAGGAAUGAGCUGAGAGCUCCAUCUGGGGCUCCACAGGUCAGCGACACGAGAGGCCAUUCCUGGGUGAAGUUACAAGUCAGUGAGAUCCAUAAAGACAGGGAAGAAGCAAGGGGGGAGGGGUGCAGAGCCUGCUGAGGGCCCUGGAGCCGAGAGCCAGGCCUCGCCGUCGGGGCCCCACGUGGGAGUCCUCUGUCACCUUGUGAGCAAGUCCCACCCUACCUCUGAGCCAGGGAAGGCCUCUGCUAUUCGCAGCCAAAGAAAGCUCACACAAAACAAAAUGAGCACAUCACUUUGCAGUAUCGAAGUCUGAACACAGGUGAACUUCCAAAAUAUGAAUUAAUUGUUGACUCUUGGCAAAGUAAAGGGUCAGGAAGAUUUGGCGGGAGUCUCAAACUGGUGGCUAAAGGGCUGUGUCUGAUUUACACGCAUGUUUUGAUUGACUUGUUUGGCAUUUUUGAAAAAUAGAAGCUAGCAAAUCCCAAUAUCCUGCUCCUCUUGAAAUAUCUAGAAGACGGGGUAAGGCUAGGCUUGCAUUCCCCAAACAUCAGUCGCCUGUAGCUGAGCAGCAGCCCCUGUCCUAUGGGACAAGGUCUCUAUGGGGCACAUGUGUCCCCAUCAGCGAUGGGCUGGAACGCACACCCGGGGGGUCACUCAUUACCACUCCCCCUUGGCUCAUUUGUUCUGCUUGCAGAAUACUGGACUCCUAGAGAGGCACGCUCUGAGAGUCAGAGAGCUGGUGGCCCCCUCUGGGCUCUCCUUCAGCAAGCCACCUGACCUCUGGGCCUUGGUGGAAGAAGACCUCAUGCUUCCUGGUCAGGAAGAGCUUCUUCCAAGGAGACUCCUUCCCAGCAAGAUGUAUACAGACCCACGCGUGGCCCGCAGCUUCCCCAGGACAAAGGACGGCCCUGGCCCCCUUCCCAUCCUUUGUUGCUCAUUGAUCAAAAGAAACAAAAUCCUCCUCAACCAAACUGGGUUAAAUUUCUCUGUCCUCCCCU